rnacentral:tRNA from 1 species
AGGCACGUAGCUCAGUUGGUUAGAGCACCACCCUGACGCGGUGGGGGUCGUCGGUUCGAAUCCGACUGUGCCUA